rnacentral:ncRNA from 1 species
GUCCUAUACAGAUGUAUCAACGCAAGACAGUUGAGCAUCUCCCUUUAGGAUGUUGUUUAUCCAGAAGCUUCAGCAACAAUCUUUAUCGUGUGGCUCAAGUCGAAAUAAGGUGAGUUGAAGUGGAAUAGGUUAACCGUAAGACCUCGAGUUGAAAAACUCUAAAAUUGACCUAGAAAUGAAGUUGUAAAAUUUCGCUAUUUCUAGUUACGGUUGG